UGUUGCUGGUCCCACUGGUUGCCGCGCUGCUCGCUGGUCCUGAGUCACCAGUAACAACUGAAUGACUGCACUGUUAAAUGUCGAGGAGAAAUUGAGGCUAGCAACAAUACAGCGCUGUCCACAGGCCCAGCCGACAGCUGACUCUUUCUGGUGAUAUGGUGCAGUAUGUUUGCACGCUGUUCAGGAUCCUUCCCUGAGGGUACCUGGCCUUGGCACGAAACCUGCCUGCCCGCCUCGGUAAAAUGACUGCUACAAGAGGGGGAGACAUGCCUUUGAUGUCUCUGGACUGGUGGGAUUCACUUGAAGAGAGAUGAGGAGUUUGGCUGCAAGUAAGUCUCUCAGUCCGAUUCAGCCAAGCCAGCAGUGGUGAUUUAAAGGAAGCCUUCCUGCAUCUGCCCUGCUGUCCAACACUGUCUGUCCCAAGGAAGGUCACCAUGGUGACAGCAGCAGUGCUACCUUAGGUCAUCUGACAUGGGGAGACUGAUCGACUCGAUUCAACUCUCACUGACAGAAUAAGAUCCAAUAAA